rnacentral:rRNA from 1 species
UACGUAGGCAGCGAGCGUUGUUCGGAAUUACUGGGCGUAAAGAGUGUGUAGGCGGCGCUCUAUGUUCGGUGUGAAAUCUCUCGGCUUAACUGGGAGGGUGCGCCGGAAACUGGAGUGCUCGAACGUGGGAGAGGAAAGCGGAAUUCCUGGUGUAGCGGUGAAAUGCGUAGAUAUCAGGAGGAACACCUGCGGUGUAGACGGCUUUCUGGACCAUUGUUGACGCUGAGACACGAAAGCGUGGGUAGCAAACAGG